CUUAAUCAAAACUCCAUGGUGUUUCAUCUUUUGGGGGGCUUUUCUGUGUUAAAUUCCUCUCUGAGGUCACUUUUUCCAUUGUAGCUCCCAGCAGGAGGCCUCUUCAUCAGCACUAUUCAGCAGUUCCUGCCAAAGUUUAUAGUUCUUCUAUCCAGAAGCUCUUAUUCAUCAGCCAUGUUUUACCUUGACUGUUUACAGAAUAAUAUGCUGUCCUCUGAGCAAUAGCCUAGUUUUCCCUCCUUUCUAGCCAAUGACUAUUCUGUUUCUUACCACCUCCAUUCCAGCAGUCUGAUUCUCCUGGUGAUCUUUAAGUAAGAACUGCUUAUGCUUACUAGGAAGGAGAAUGGAAAAAUCACAUGUCUCUGGGGCUAUUAUAAUGCCCAGCUAUAUUGUGCUAUUAUAAUGUUUAUAUGAAUCUGGAAAUUUCCCCAAAAACCAGUGUAAGCAAAAUCAAAGAUUAAGUUUUUGGUUUUAGGCUUACUGAGUGGAGAGAACAUCAAAAAGUAUUUUGUUAAAGUUUACAUCAUUUAUUUAUUAAUUUAUCUUAAGGCAUUACUAGUAUUUUAAUUAGGCAGCCAUAAAAAUAUUUCUAUAGGUUGAAUGGCUUAAAGAACAGAAGUUUAUUUUCUCACAGUUCUGGAAGUUCGAGGUCAAGGUGCCAGCUGACUGAGUUCACAGCUCUUUGCGCUCUGUGCAUGUUCAACUCCUGGCUGUGCUCCCACAUGGCCUUUUCUCUGUGUGGCGUGUCCUGAAGUUUCUCCCUCUUCUUAUAAGGACACCAGCCCUAUUCACUUAGGGCCCCAUCCUUAUGACUUUAUUUAACCCUAAUUACCUCCCUACAGGCCCCGUCUCCAAAUUCAGUCACAUUUGGAUGUUAGGGCAUCAACUUAUGAAUUUGGGACCAAGGGACAUACUGUGGUCCAUAACAACUGGACCCCCUCUGUGUGCUUAGAUACUAUAGUAAGUGCUGGGAAUACAAGGAUUAAUGAGACAUGACCCCUGCCCUAAAAGAACACAUAGCCAACUAUACAGCUCUCCUUACCUAGACUCUAGAAGCAUGUUAUCAAUGUGAAUGCAGGGACACUUGUCACGCUGUGAAGGAGGCAUAUGUAGUUUGUGCAGUUUACUUAAGAAUGAAGACGAUUCAACAACUUGGAUAAAAUACUUUUUAAACAAUGAUUGUAUGUGUAUUAUUUGUCUGAAAGGACUCAAUGUUGGGACAGAUACCAAGAAAAAUUGCACAGUGCACCUCAUGGAGGUGAUUGACUAGAAAGGGGGAAAACCUGUGUAUGAAAUGAUUUGGGAGCAUUAUAAGACAGUAUAAGGUAUAAUCCCUAAAUUAUAG
rnacentral:lncRNA from 1 species